rnacentral:rRNA from 1 species
CCUACGGGAGGCAGCAGUGAGGAAUAUUGGUCAAUGGCCGGAAGGCUGAACCAGCCAUGCCGCGUGAAGGUCAGUGCCCCAUGGGCGUUUAACUUCCUUUGUGCGGGAGCAAUAAUGGUCACGUGUGGCCAGACGAGAGUACCGUACGAAUAAGCAUCGGCUAACUCCGUGCCAGCAGCCGCGGUAAUACGGGGGAUGCAAGCGUUAUCCGGAGUUAUUGGGUUUAAAGGGUGCGUAGGCGGGGAUGUAAGUCAGCGGUGAAAUGCCCCCGCUCAACGGGGUGAAGUGCCAUUGAUACUGCCGUGCUGGAAUGCGGAUGCCGUGGGAGGAAUGUGUGGUGGAGCGGUGAAAUGCAUAGAUAUCACACAGAACACCGAUUGCGAAGGCAUCUCACGGAUCCGCGAUUGACGCUGAUGCACGAAAGCGUGGGUAUCAAACAGGAUUAGAUACCCGAGUAGUC